AAUUGGUUGAGCAAUUCUGGCCACUUUGUUUCCACCACAGUGGCCAGAAGCCUCCAGCAGUGAAGAGCAGCAGGUCACAGCUCAAGUGUGCCACAGCCUCCCAGGGGUUUUCCUUGGUGCCAGUUAGGAAGAGGCUGAGGUGCCACGAGAGGUCGCAUUCCUGAUCACCACUGCCUACAAAAUACAAACCAAAGCAAAAAAAGGCAUGAGACUGCAGUGAGCUUGGAACAUGAAGAAGCCUAAUUCCAGCAGAUACACUUUCAGAAGUCCCCAAACUAUGCUUACGGAAGGUAAUUAAAUGCUUUAGAUCAUGAUUAUGUGAAUAACCAAAUACCAAAUAAAUCCUGCUUUGCAAGGAUACCUCAACUCUCUUCAGGAAGAAUGCUGAAAGGUUUAUCAUCUCGAAGACACUUGCAAAUUUACAUCUCAAUGGAACAGAAAUUGCAAAAAGAAAACUUGACAGAUUAUUUCAGAGAGUGUCAGUUUUAUAUCUAAAGGUGAUUAAGAACAAAAGAUCUUAGAUAACAGCAUCAUUUGUAACUAGACAUUUAUGGGAGCUUCAGCUAUUAAAGAUGAAACAAACAAAACAUAAAUACCCUCCUGGCAUUGUAGUACCUUACCUUUUCAAAGUUAGAACUUUGAAUGCUUCACUUUAAUACAGACUUCUGAAAAGACCUUCACAUUUCUAAAUAAGUGUGACACCAGAUACCUGCUUAAACAAAUGUAUGUCCUUUCCCAAAGAAAACAAAGUCCAUUUAGCCAUUAUCCUUUUAUUUAACUAUACAUUUUGCAUUUAAAAAGCCAUUAAGAAAUGCUCAUUUUUCCCCAAGAUAAUUUAAUGCAAAACAUAAUUAAAACAUUACUUGAGCUCUUCUGCUUCUUUAUGUCAUGCAUGAAUUUUCCAUUUUUUCUCCAAAGUAACUCAUGUCUUUUAUCUUCUAGAAUCAACAUUUAUCUCCGUAAACUGCAAAUAUGUGAUGCUGGCAGGCUGAUGUCACCUGGUAAUACUUUCCACUUAAGCGAAGUGUGGACUCAAGAUUACAAACAUCCGACAUUCCAAAGUGUUUUAAGCAGGAAAGCUGUGACCAUCCUAAAAGAUCUUCAUUUCUGCCAUUUCUUCAGUCAAAGGUCUGUGCUCAGAUCCAUGAUGUAUGUGACAGUACUGGAGGAUACAGAGAUUUCCUUUCCUGGAUCUCCAAUCCAUAUUUGCUCUUCCUGUCUUGAACUUGGUUUUAUCUCUUUUCCAAUUCUCCCCAUCCCACCAGGUUGGGAGAGAGCAGGUGGCUGCAUGGUACUUAUCUGGCCUUAAACCAUGAAAACAGAAGAAAGCACACUGUCCCCUUGCACCUGCCAAGAAACAAAACCAAAAACCCACCAAAAGAAACAAACGAAACUGGAGAGCCAGAGAGUCAUUUUUCAUCUCUUAUACCCUCAAGCACCAAAAAGUGUGCAGCCCUGUGCAGACCUACACAGACUGGAAAAGGAAAAGGGUGCAUGCUGACUUCCUAGUCUUCAUCUCAUAGAGAAGAAGCAACAAACUGGGUUCUGGUCAUCUGGACGUUAAGAUCAGAACUCCACCUUCUCUCUUGCCCUCUCCCAUUCCCAAUGAACGGAAACUUUCUCUUAAGAAAUCAGUACAACUUACAUCAGGGAGGAAGAAUGGAUCGUUUUGGAGAAGCAGGACUUGCAGAUCAUUCUCACUGAGGCCAGACAAAUCAUGUUUUUUUAGAACUUUCUUGUUCUCCGCAUUCAUGAUGUCAUGCGAGUACUUACAAGAGCUGCAAGAAAAUACACAGAAAUAUCAGUGCUUACUCCUUUAGUCAAGUUGAUUUAAAGAAGAACCUCAGAUAAUGUGCAACUUGGGAAAAGCCAAAGUGAAAGAAAGGUGUCUUGGUGAGAGUCUCUGAACAUUUAGAUGGUGUCUGUAAUUAGCCAGAGAAUGGACCAAAGAGCAGAACUCCUCUGUGACCCAACUGUCCUCAUUUUAAACUUCAAUGCAGGCAGACCCAGGCAUUCUUUGACUCCAGGAAGAGCCAAGUCAAGUCACGUGGCCUAAACAGCUGGAGGGAAAGGUAAUUUUAAAGGAGUACACCAACAAUACCAGAAGUUGGAACAACCUUUAUUUUGUAAACGUAAAUGUUGUUGUCCUAGCGAUGGCAAGUAAAGAAACAUGCAAGAGUCUGCUCAAAACAACAGCAACAGUGAAGCUGAAAACAACACAUUUUGUUAUCCUCAGUGGCUGUGAAGUUUAAUUAAAAAAAAAACCAAAACAACAACAAACAGGCACCACCUUUGGCCACCUGUGGCUAGAAGAGGCUACCAGGCCUGCCCAUCCCAUAUUCCAGAAACUGGGACUUGACGCACCUGGAUGAUCAAACAGCGCCUCUCAAAGAAAGGGCCCUAAGCCAAGCAAUGGCUUACAGCAGAACUCGACUUCCGUAACUCUAGAGCAAAACCAGAGGGCAUGUCAGCACUUUGUUUUUUCCUUCCGAGAAAUAGGUAUAAACUACUACACCCAGAAA